rnacentral:lncRNA from 1 species
CACGAAUACAAUAGCUUUCAUUGAGUUCUGAGUCUUUCUAGCAAAUUAUCUAAGCUGAGGGUUGGUUUUAGGAAUCCUCCAGGCUUACAAGUACUCUUGUCUUCCAUUCACUCCGACUUCUACCAACCAGUCACUUUUUACCUUCCAGAUGCCAACUGUGGGGGGAAUAAAGUUGCUUAGCAACGUGGAAAUGGGAGAAGCUAUAAGGCUUCCCAGUGUUCACGCGAUCGUCCCUAUUUCUGUGCCUCUUCCACCUUUCAUCCCAGAGGUUAACUGGUGCUGUGAAUUCUGAAAUGUGUCAGACCCACACUGCAGUCUGAAGGCUCUCUCGACCUACGCUUGCUCCAUCUCCCGUUUAUCCUCCAUUUAUGAUGUUUCCUCUAACAAAUUCUUGCAUAUCUAACUUUGUCAUGUCAUCUGCUUCUCUGAGGACUCAAAUUAUCACCCGGGAUUUUGGAAAGAAGUUUUAUUAGAAGUUUUAUUAGAUGUCUAGUCCACUGUCUUAAUAAGAAACCACCAUGAAGUUUUUAUGUUCUUCAAAGAUUACACAUUUCAAGUUUCAUUUAUCUAUGGGAGAAUGAAUUACUUUCAACACAUUUAUAUCUGAGUGAGUUUGUUUAUUGUUCUGAUUUACUGAAACUUAAAAUAUUCCAUCAAAUUAUCCAGGAAAAUCCAGGUGGCAGAAAUAUAUAAUAUGUCCAUUUCAUCAAGAGGUCUCAAAUAAAUUUUAAAAGGCCAGAAAAUGAUAUAUAUACUAUGCCAUUUAAAUCACUUCUAUCUUCUGUACUUAAGAACUCAAGUAUAGAAAUAAACUGUGGGCUGAAGUAACAUUGUAACCUGCUCCCAACAUGACUGCAUAGGUGUCCAAGGUUAAGUGUGAAGAUUACUGUGAGGUCUGAAGUUACUUGACUAAUCAAUCCCAUUUGAAUUUCAAUCCAAGCAGCAUAUUUUACACACACCUGAAGGAAAUAUCUUCAGUGUGUUCAUGUGUGUGUCUAUGUGCAUGUAUGUGUAGGGGAUAGGUGUAAUUAGGGAAGGGCUGACCGAACAACAUUGAUAAGUACAUGCUAGAAGUCUGCUGUUGUUGGUAAUACAGAAACAUACACAGUCUUCAUAUUCAAAGUCUUCACGGGGAUGUCUUCUGUAAUU